rnacentral:rRNA from 1 species
AGAGUUUGAUCAUGGCUCAGGAUGAACGCUAGCGGCAGGCCUAAUACAUGCAAGUCGAGGGGUAUAGGGAGCUUGCUUCCUAGAGACCGGCGCACGGGUGCGUAACGCGUAUGCAACCUACCAUUGCCUGGGGGAUAGCCCGGAGAAAUCCGGAUUAAUACCGCAUAAAAUCACAGUACCGCAUGGUACAAUGAUCAAACAUUCAUGGGGCGGUGAUGGGCAUGCGUGCCAUUAGUUAGUUGGCGGGGUAACGGCCCACCAAGACCGCGAUGGCUAGGGGAUCUGAGAGGAUGGCCCCACACUGGUACUGAGACACGGACCAGACUCCUACGGGAGGCAGCAGUAAGGAAUAUUGGUCAAUGGGCGCAAGCCUGAACCAGCCAUGCCGCGUGCAGGAAGACGGCCCUCUGGUUGUAAACUGCUUUUAUUCGGGAAUAAACCUGUCUACGUGUAGACAGCUGAAUGUACCGAAGGAAUAAGGAUCGGCUAACUCCGUGCCAGCAGCCGCGGUAAUACGGAGGAUCCAAGCGUUAUCCGGAUUUAUUGGGUUUAAAGGGUGCGUAGGCGGCCUGUUAAGUCAGGGGUGAAAGACGGUAGCUCAACUAUCGCAGUGCCCUUGAUACUGAUGGGCUUGAAUUGACUAGAGGUAGGCGGAAUGUGACAAGUAGCGGUGAAAUGCAUAGAUAUGUCACAGAACACCGAUUGCGAAGGCAGCUUACUAUGGUCUUAUUGACGCUGAGGCACGAAAGCGUGGGGAUCAAACAGGAUUAGAUACCCUGGUAGUCCACGCCCUAAACGAUGAACACUCGCUGUUGGCGAUACACAGUCAGCGGCUAAGCGAAAGCGUUAAGUGUUCCACCUGGGGAGUACGCCCGCAAGGGUGAAACUCAAAGGAAUUGACGG